rnacentral:rRNA from 1 species
GAUGAACGCUGGCGGCGUGCCUAAUACAUGCCAGUCGAGCGAACAGACGAGGAGCUUGCUCCUCUGACGUUAGCGGCGGACGGGUGAGUAACACGUGGAUAACCUACCUAUAAGACUGGGAUAACUUCGGGAAACCGGAGCUAAUACCGGAUAAUAUAUUGAACCGCAUGGUUCAAUAGUGAAAGACGGUUUUGCUGUCACUUAUAGAUGGAUCCGCGCCGCAUUAGCUAGUUGGUAAGGUAACGGCUUACCAAGGCAACGAUGCGUAGCCGACCUGAGAGGGUGAUCGGCCACACUGGAACUGAGACACGGUCCAGACUCCUACGGGAGGCAGCAGUAGGGUAUCUUCCGCAAUGGGCGAAAGCCUGACGGAGCAACGCCGCGUGAGUGAUGAAGGUCUUCGGAUCGUAAAACUCUGUUAUUAGGGAAGAACAAAUGUGUAAGUAACUAUGCACGUCUUGACGGUACCUAAUCAGAAAGCCACGGCUAACUACGUG